GGGCAAAAGCCCUGUCAGAUUCUUCCGACACUGAUUCGGAUAGUGAGGAGGUUUUGAACGGGUCGGACCAAGCCGACUCAGAGGAAUGGGAGUUUUCCUCCCCGGACCAGAGUCCGACACGCACUCCAGCCAACCCCGUGCAUGACACGGCGGAUGAAACCACUAUUCUGGACCCUCAGGGCGAACCUCUGUUCGACCCAGACACCUUACAAAACCCGAGGUCGGCGGAGUGGUAUCCAACCGAUCAUGUAGCACGAUACAUAGCGGCCAGAAUCCGCAAACCUUUGGAUAAGGCCACCAGGCAGAAACUACGGGCUGAAUGCCCACGCCCGACUGUGCCUGACAUGGCCUGUGCUACACCUGAUAUCGACCCCAAAAUAGCACAGUUCUUGGGUAAGUCUGGCUGGAAGGCGAAGAAGGGACUUGAUUACUCCCUACGCCACUGCCAAGAUAAAGUGCUGGAUACAUUGGGCCCUAGUGCCAAGAUUUUUGAAUUGGUCGAAGCGGCCUUAAAUGAGGGAACGCCUAUUGAUUUACUAGCCAUUAGAGGCUGGGCCCAACGGUCGAUCUGCCUCAUCGGCAACGCUAACGCUGCACUGGCCACAGAAAGGCGCAAAACUAUUUUAAUGAAAAUCGAGCCCAAGCUAAUUAACAUGGCUCUCACCGAACCGGGACCGCAAG